rnacentral:rRNA from 1 species
CUACGGGUCGCUCCAGUGGGGAAUAUUGGACAAUGGGCGAAAGCCUGAUCCAGCCAUGCCGCGUGGAUGAAGAAGGCCCUAGGGUUGUAAAGUCCUUUCGGUGGUGAAGAUAAUGACGGUAACCACAGAAGAAGCCCCGGCUAAUUUCGUGCCAGCAGCCGCGGUAAUACGAAAGGGGCUAGCGUUGUUCGGAAUUACUGGGCGUAAAGCGCACGUAGGCGGCCUUGUAAGUUGGGGGUGAAAUCCCGGAGCUCAACUCCGGAACUGCCUUCAAAACUACAAAGCUAGAGGAUGUGAGAGGAUAGUGGAAUUCCGAGUGUAGAGGUGAAAUUCGUAGAUAUUCGGAAGAACACCGGUGGCGAAGGCGACUGUCUGGCACAUUUCUGACGCUGAGGUGCGAAAGCGUGGGGAGCAAACAGGAUUAGAUACCCGCGUAGUC